GGGGACGACAUGGCUUCGACGCCGGUGACGAACCCUUGGGUGCAUGCCGAGAUGGCAGCGAAUCUCGUUAAUCCAAAGCUGCGUUAAAAUAGUCGCAAACGACGAAAACUACGCACUGGCGGCUUAAGCCCGCCGGUCGUUCCGGCUGAGGUGUCUGUAACUCAGUUUUUCCGGAACGUCAUCGCUUACAGGCUGCUCCGUGCGUCAGAGCUCACUGACACACGGCUAAGACCAAAGAGCUCGCCUCUGGCACCCUGGCCUUCGGGUCGCCCGAGGUUAAAUCAAUAGAAGGACACUAAGCAUGUAGACCUCAAGGCUGAGUGCUGGCGGACGCGGGUUCAAUUCCCGCCGUCUCCACCA
rnacentral:tmRNA from 1 species